rnacentral:lncRNA from 1 species
CGAUCAUUAAAACCCUAUCACGGUUAGAAAUCCAACGAGUUAGGUGUUGCCACUAGCUACUUUUACGACAAAUGUCGUGUUUUUAGUUUCCACAUAUAAUACUUUGAUUAACAAAAAAGAUACUACGUGGCCUCAAUAAGCCACCAUUGUCCAUAUAUAACCAUAGUUGAUAACAGUUCACAAAAACAUAACGUUAUGUGAACACGCUUACUUAUAUAUUAAAUAGCGCAUUUGAUUUGCUUCCCAAGUUUCAAAGAGAGUGCACUUUUUCUGCAGAGCUUUAACAACUUAUUAGGUUAUGCAGUUGGUGACCGGCCCUUUCUUUUUAUUACAAAAACUCUGCACACUUUUUCAAAACUUAUAGUGUUGUUUCUCCUUUUUGUUGAAAAGUAUAAAUUGAUUCAUGGAAAUUAUGGGUGGUUUCAUGUUUGACAUUCCGUUGGGGCGCUGGACCCCUUUUGGGGGGAUAGUUGGGAAUGUGACUGCCCAGAUACCAGAGUUAUCAAAAAAAAAAAAAAAAAAAAGAAUAUUAAAAGAAAUUUCGAGUUUUAUACGUAAAUGUGGAGAGCUUGUAUAACACAUCACAUGAAAUAACGAAAAGGGGAAUUGGGGUGUAUGACAUGAAAAAAAAAACUAAUUCACUGGGUAACCAAUUUACCUAACAUUCAUAUACACACCGUUACAUUUAUAUAAUAAUACUGUAUUAGCCUUCCCUUUAACCGGUGCAACCUGAUGAAAACAAAUAAUUAAAUUUUCUAAUUAUUAACUUCAAAAAAUAAGACGUGGCUUGCCCUACUUCACAUUUUUCUUUUUUACUUCACUUGCUAGCUUCCUCGCAUUCUAAUGGUCUUCGGUGAUGAUUUGCUCCACAUCGUCGCCUCCACGGAUUUCCAAAGCUUCGUUGACG